rnacentral:rRNA from 1 species
GACGAACGCUGGCGGCAGGCCUAACACAUGCAAGUCGAGCGAGCGGCGGACGGGUGAGUAAUGUAUGGGGACUGCCCGAUAGAGGGGGAUAACUACUGGAAACGGUGGCUAAUACCGCAUACUAUCGGAUAACCCAUAUGGGAUUAGCUAGUAGGUGGGGUAAAGGCUCACCGAGGCGACGAUCUCUAGCUGGUCUGAGAGGAUGAUCGGCCACACUGUGACUUAGACACGGCCCAGACGCCUACGGAGGCAGCAGUGUGGAAUUGUGCACAAUGGGCGCAAGCCUGAUUCAGCCAUGCCGCGUGGAUGAAGGAGGCCUUAGGGUUUUAAAGUACUUUCAGCGGGUAGGCGGUACGCGCAGAAGAAGCACCGGCUAACUCCGUGCCAGCAGCCGCGGUAAUAC